rnacentral:misc_RNA from 1 species
GUGAAUCAUCAAAUUUUUGAACGCAAAUUGCACUCCCUGGUAUUCCGGGGAGUAUGCCUGUUUGAGGGUCGUUAGAAUAAAAAAUCGAGGCGUCGCUCUUUUUUUUAAGGGUGAUCGCGUCGGAAUUGAGUCGUCUUUACCUUUGGUUUUAAGUGACUUAAAAUUAUGUACGAUUUCUGAACGUAUUUAAAUUAUUUACUUACGCUCAUGAUAUCACAUAUUAGGUGCGGUCAUCCACAUGAUUUCGCGCCUAUAAUUUUUCAUUAUUUGACCUCAAAUCAGGUAAGAAUACCCGCUGAA